GGGGGAUCGAACGAACUCAACCAACAAAGCAAAUCUUCUAAAUUUUUCAGUCUUUCCAAUUUCCAAGUACUUCUCUUCUAUAAACAAGACACUUCAUUUUCUACAUUUGUCAACAGUCUUCUAAUUUCUUUUCAAGAUAAACUCACUCAUCAUGGCUCCUGAUCUCACCACCGCCACCAAGACUACCUCUCUCGUUAAGCAAGCUAGCAUAUCUAGCUGUGCUUAUGUGACGUUCUUGGCUGGUAAUGGAGACUAUGUGAAAGGUGUUGUCGGCUUAGCCAAGGGCUUGAGGAAAGUUAAUAGCAAAUACCCACUAGUGGUAGCUAUCUUGCCUGAUGUCCCAGAGGAGCACCGCAAGAUUCUGAUCUCUCAGGGGUGCAUAGUCAGGGAAAUUGAACCUUUGCACCCACCUGAGAACCAGACCCAAUUUGCCAUGGCUUAUUAUGUCAUUAACUACUCCAAGCUUCGUAUAUGGGAGUUCGUGGAGUAUAGCAAGAUGAUAUAUUUGGAUGGUGACAUCCAAGUAUUUGAUAAUAUAGACCACCUCUUCGACUUGCAAGAUGGAUACUUUUAUGGUGUGAUGGACUGUUUCUGUGAGCAGACAUGGAGCCACUCACCACAGCACAAGAUUGGCUACUGCCAGCAGUGCCCUGAUAGGGUUCAGUGGCCUGCUGAGUUAGGCCCUAAACCUCCCCUUUACUUCAAUGCUGGCAUGUUUGUUUUUGAGCCCAAUUUGUCCACAUAUGAUGACCUCUUGAGGACGGUCAAAGUUACCCCUCCUACCCUCUUUGCUGAGCAGGAUUUCUUGAACAUGUUCUUCAAGGACGUUUACAGGCCAAUUCCUCCAAUUUAUAACCUUGUAUUAGCUUUACUCUGGCGCCAUCCUGAGAACAUUGAACUUGACAAAGUCAAGGUUGCUCACUACUGUGCUGCUGGCUCCAAGCCAUGGAGGUACACUGGGAAAGAAGAGAACAUGGACAGGGAAGACAUCAAGAUGCUGGUCAAUAAAUGGUGGGAUAUUUACGAUGACGAGUCUUUGGACUACAAGAGCACUGUGGCUGCUGCUGGUGGAACUGAAGGUGGUCUGCAACCAUUCUUGGCUGCGCUGUCGGAGGCUGGUGUUGCUCACUACAUUAACGCCCCAUCUGCUGCCUAGGCCUAAGGCUAUUGGUAGUAGAGACAAUUUGUAUAUUGAAAAGAAACGCUUUAUUUAUUAUUAGAGAUCAAUCAAAGCUCACAAACAAUCUUCUGUAAGGCAUUAACCAUCCCACCUUUAAUGGUCUGUGGUCUGGGAAGGUCAAAGAUAAUGGCAAAUCAAAUUAAUCACACUUCCAGAUAUCUCUGAUCAUAGGAACCUCUUGCGAGUUUGGUUAAAGAUCUCCCAUAUGCAGCGUUGUUUUCUUCUCAAAGGCAACAGCAGGUUCCUUUUUCCUUCUAUUUUCAUUGUAUAAAAUAUAAUUUUUUCAAUACCUAUAACAAAUUAAAUUUGAAUUCUUGGACAAGUUCAAUAGCUUACUUCGAUUACAUAUAAUUUAAUCAAAUAAAAAAAAUCUGUUCAAAAUAAGAAAAAAAUAUUCCCAAUCUUGGAGAUACUAAUCUCUCCUAUUCAAAUUUUUGCCUGUUUUUGUUCAAAUUAAUGUGCGAAAGAGAAUACCCCAUGAAAUUACAACUCCCAACUCAGAUAGUAAGCAGCUACUAUGUAGUAAUAUAGUAAACAGAAUGUUAUUUACAGUAUAAUUUAAGGCAAAUUAAGAAAUACCCAUGAGUGAAUAUCGUGAAUUUUGACUUGCUUUUAUCACGACUCCAUCUAUUGCUUUGAGUAUGGCUCUCUCUAUAGUAACUGAGACUGUGCCUUCUGUUUUCUAUUUACCCAACCAAUCCCCCUCUGCUCGUGUUCUUGAUUUUGAAAAGAAAAAUGGGAUUUGGUCAUUGGUGUUAUUCUGUUUCUGUUCCUCUGCUGGUAAUCUUCGUCUUGAUCAACCCCAAUAUUGUUGACAAAGAAACCCAAGAAUUGAUCUAUAAAGUCCGUGGCCAAAUGGAAGAAUAUGGCUUUUGUA
rnacentral:misc_RNA from 1 species